GAUGAACGCUGGCGGCGUGCCUAAUACAUGCAAGUCGAGCGAACAGACGAGGAGCUUGCUCCUCUGACGUUAGCGGCGGACGGGUGAGUAACACGUGUAUAACCUACCUAUAAGACUGGGAUAACUUCGGGAAACCGGAGCUAAUACCGGAUAAUAUAUUGAACCGCAUGGUUCAAUAGUGAAAGACGGUUUUGCUGUCACUUAUAGAUGGAUCCGCGCCGCAUUAGCUAGUUGGUAAGGUAACGGCUUACCAAGGCAACGAUGCGUAGCCGACCUGAGAGGGUGAUCGGCCACACUGGAACUGAGACACGGUCCAGACUCCUACGGGAGGCAGCAGUAGGGAAUCUUCCGCAAUGGGCGAAAGCCUGUCGGAGCAACGCCGCGUGAGUGAUGAAGGUCUUCGGAUCGUAAAACUCUGUUACUAGGGAAGAACAAAUGUGUAAGUAACUAUGCACGUCUUGACGGUACCUAAUCAGAAAGCCACGGCUAACUACGUG
rnacentral:rRNA from 1 species